rnacentral:sRNA from 1 species
UUUCCGGAACGAAUUGAGGAGCGGAGC